rnacentral:rRNA from 1 species
GACGAACGCUGGCGGCGUGCUUAACACAUGCAAGUCGAACGGAGUGGCGAACGGGUGUGUAACACGUGGGUGACCUGCCCUGCACUUCGGGAUAAGCCUGGGAAACUGGGUCUAAUACCGGAUAGUGUGGGAUGGGCCCGCGGCCUAUCAGCUUGUGGGUGGGGUAAUGGCCUACCAAGGCGGCGACGGGUAGCCGGCCUGGGAGGGUGGACGGCCACAUUGGGACUGAGACACGGCCCAGAGUCCUACGGGAGGCAGCAGUGGGGAAUAUUGCACAAUGGGCGGAAGCCUGAUGCAGCGACGCCGAGUGGGGGAUGACGGCCUUCGGGUUGUAAACUCCUUUCGCUAGGGACGCGGUACCUAGAUAAGAAGCACCGGCUAACUACGUGCCAGCAGCCGCGGUAAUUC